rnacentral:rRNA from 1 species
UAGGGAAUCUUGCGCAAUGGGCGAAAGCCUGACGCAGCGACGCCGCGUGAGCGAUGAAGGCCCUCGGGUUGUAAAGCUCUGUGGGGAGAGAAGAAUAAGGGUGAGCCAAUACCUCAUUCGAUGACGGUAUCUCCUUAGCAAGCACCGGCUAACUCUGUG